rnacentral:rRNA from 1 species
CCUACGGGCGGCAGCAGUGGGGAAUAUUGCACAAUGGGCGCAAGCCUGAUGCAGCCAUGCCGCGUGUGUGAAGAAGGCCUUCGGGUUGUAAAGCACUUUCAGCGGGGAGGAAGGCGGUGAGGUUAAUAACCUCAUCGAUUGACGUUACCCGCAGAAGAAGCACCGGCUAACUCCGUGCCAGCAGCCGCGGUAAUACGGAGGGUGCAAGCGUUAAUCGGAAUUACUGGGCGUAAAGCGCACGCAAGCGGUCUGUCAAGUCGGAUGUGAAAUCCCCGGGCUCAACCUGGGAACUGCAUUCGAAACUGGCAGGCUAGAGUCUUGUAGAGGGGGGUAGAAUUCCAGGUGUAGCGGUGAAAUGCGUAGAGAUCUGGAGGAAUACCGGUGGCGAAGGCGGCCCCCUGGACAAAGACUGACGCUCAGGUGCGAAAGCGUGGGGAGCAAACAGGAUUAGAUACCCUUGUAGUC